UCGAACGGCAGCGAGGAGAAGCUUGCUUCUCUGUCGGCGAGUGGCGAACGGGUGAGUAUAGCAUCGGAACGUACCAAGUAGUGGGGGAUAACCAAACGAAAGUUUGGCUAAUACCGCGUAAGCUCCAAGGAGGAAAGUAGGGGACCUAAAUAAGGCCUUACGCUAUUUGAUCGGCCGAUGUCGGAUUAGCUAGUUGGUGGGGUAAUGGCUCACCAAGGCAAUGAUCCGUAGCGGGUCUGAGAGGACGAUCCGCCACACUGGGACUGAGACACGGCCCAGACUCCUACGGGAGGCAGCAGUGGGGAAUUUUGGACAAUGGGGGAAACCCUGAUCCAGCCAUGCCGCGUGUAUGAAGAAGGCCUUAGGGUUGUAAAGUACUUUUGUUAGGGAAGAAAAGCUAGUUUUUAAUAAAAAUUAGUGAUGACGGUACCUAAAGAAUAAGCACCGGCUAACUACGUGCCAGCAGCCGCGGUAAUACGUAGGGUGCAAGCGUUAAUCGGAAUUAUUGGGCGUAAAGCGAGUGCAGACGGUUACUUAAGCCAGAUGUGAAAUCCCCAAGCUUAACUUGGGACGUGCAUUUGGAACUGGGUGACUAGAGUGUGUCAGAGGGAGGUAGAAUUCCACAUGUAGCGGUGGAAUGCGUAGAGAUGUGGAGGAAUACCGAUGGCGAAGGCAGCCUCCUGGGAUAACACUGACGUUGAGGCUCGAAAGCGUGGGGAGCAAACAGGA
rnacentral:rRNA from 1 species